rnacentral:rRNA from 1 species
ACGUACGCUGGCGGCGUGCCUCAUCCUUGCCAGUUGAGCGCUGAAGGCUGGUACUUGUACCAACUGGAUGAGCAGCGAACGGGUGAGUAACGCGUGGGGAAUCUGCCUUUGAGCGGGGGACAACAUUUGGAAACGAAUGCUAAUACCGCAUAAAAACUUUAAACACAAGUUUUCAGUUUGAAAGAUGCAAUUGCAUCACUCAAAGAUGAUCCCGCGUUGUAUUAGCUAGUUGGUGAGGUAAAGGCUCACCAAGGCGAUGAUACAUAGCCGACCUGAGAGGGUGGUCGGCCACAAUGGGACUGAGACACGGCCCAAACUCCUACGGGGGGCAGCAGUAGGGAAUCUUCGGAAAUUGGCGAAAGUCUGACCGAGCAACGCCGCGUGAGUGAAGAAGGUUUUCGGAUCGUAAAACUCUGUUGGUAGAGAAGAAAGUUGGUGAGAGUGGAAAGCUCAUCAAGUGACGGUAACUACCCAGAAAGGGACGGCUAACUACGUG